CCUUGAGGGGCACGAGAAGCCACUUUUAGCCCUUGGUAGGUCUACGUCUACACCACAAGUGCCCGGUCUCGGGGAGUAACCCAAAUAAAACAGCUCGAAAGCUCCUCCAGACCCCUAGAGUGUUUCUCAAGCCUUUGAGCCAAACCAGGAAGUUGUUUUCUCCUCCCGGUUCCCCCCCCGACCCCGCCUUUGAUUUCCCUGUGGCCUUUAGACAGGCGUCCGGCUGGCUGCCCUAGAUAAGGGAACUGAGUUGUCACUGCUCCCCAGUGAUACUAGGUGGGGUGGCAGGAGGGCUCUUCUGAGCAGGUAACAGCCAGCAGCGGAGGAGAAAGGGUCCUGUGGUAGCUCGAUGUCCGGACCCCAGGGCCCGGCGCUCCCCUGCAGCGGCUCAUCCACAGCAGCAGAAACCACCGGGCAUCUAGAACGCUCGGGGAGAACCACAGUGAGUGGCAUGUGCUUGGAUUCUCCUUGUCAUUGUUGAGAGACACUGAGCUGUGGCUGAGGGAGGAGGGGGUCCCGAGAGAGAACUUGGGGGACAAAGGGAGCCAUGGAGGGGUGUCACUUGGGGCAGGGAAGGGCGUUUCUGCCGAGAUGCUCAGUACCAGUGGGUGUGGGGCCGCUGUGGGAUUUGAGGAAAACUGACAGUGGGGAAAACCCGGAGUUAGGCAAGCCGUGAGGUGCUGACCCUGCUCUGAGAAGAUGCCAGGAAAUUCCACGGAAGCAAUGCCAAGUCUGGGCUACAGGGGCGGCGAGGGAACGUGCUACCACCUGACUGAGGCAGGGGUGGGGUGAGAGUUCUGAGGCCAGAGAGGAAGGAGGCCGGGAAGAUUCCAGAUUUGGGAGAGUGGGAGGAAUUAGCGGGCGGGGGGGGGGCUGCAUGGGGGUGGCUUGGAAGAAAGGUGGAUGGAGAGGAGGAACGUGAACCAGCUGGCAAGUCCGUAUGAACUUCCUCCGGAUCAAGUCCCUGUACCUGUGAUUGACCUAAUUUGGGGACCAGACCUACACCGUGGUUUAGCAUUCACAGAGUUGGUUAAAUGACAUCCUGUCGACGAACGCCAGAAACGUGUCCGAGAUCACUCAUCUAUUCAAUUCGUCUUUUCCGCAAAUAUGUAUAUGGAGUGCCUGGCGUGUGCCCAGCGCCAUCCUGGGUGAACAAGGUGAACAUCAAUGAACGAGGCAGGCGAACAUCCUGAACUUCACGGAGCUUACGUGCUACAGACAGAAGCAGAAUACGGACGUCGGAAAGCGCACGAUUCGGUCGGUUGCAGGCAUACCGUCUCGGAUCUCAGCUCCGAAUCUCAGCCUUGGGAGGGAAGGCACCUUCCAAGGGUGUUCCUUCUGGGAACUGAACUGAACUAAAAAAGCUGUUCCAAGCACCCGAAACCUCUUCCUGUGCCUUCGAACGCCCACCGCCACCGUCCACACUUACGCUCAGGAGGUGAGCCCAUCUCUGCUUUUGUCCACACCCUGGGCUCUGGCUUCAAAUGCAUGGUGGCAUCUCCAUUCUUCCCUCCUCCGUAGGAAGAGUUGUUCCUCUGAUAGUAAAGGCUCAUUUCUCCUCCUGCACUCUGAUCACCAGCAGCCAGAAUCUAUUAGAUUCUUCACGAUAUUGAAAUGCUCUGGUGUCUCCCUUAAAGUUUUUUUUUAAUGUUGAUUUAUUAUUUUUGAGACACAGAGAGAGACAGAGCAUGA